CAUAAUCUGUUGCUGAAAUUUGCAGUUAGAUGGUUUCCCACUCAAGUGGCUUGUGCCACAUCUACAUUAAAUUUGCAUCCGGCUUAGAUUUCUGUAUUAGAUGAUGCUUCUAAUUUGUGUUUUGGGUUAAGGUCCAGCUCCCAGUGUGUGCAGAGAGAGUGAUGAAUGAGGAGGCCGUGUUAUCAGAAGGCCGGGUGGGACAGAGUUCUGAUUGGAGAAACUGAAGUGUCACUGAGGAGAUGGAAAUCCUGCCUAAUCUAAGAGGUGGCACAGCAGAGAGGAAAAAGGAGAAUGACCGAUUCUCAUCUGCCCAUGGCUGUGCAAGGGAGAACUACAGCACUGGGCUCUCUGCGCCUGUGCUCUGAUUCCACGCUCGGUGUUCAACAGCAUCCUGUGGCCAUAUAACCACGAGCUUCCCAGAAUAAAAGCGCCUGGAUUCUGCUGUGUUUGACAAGCACAGGACAUGGAAAUGGAAGGCCUCAGCUUAUAUUCCAGUUCAGCCACUUCCUCAUGUGACCUUUGCUAAAUCAUUGCAUGUCUCUGUAUCAUAUAUUGCUCCUUCAAUAAUAUCAGACAAAACCAAACAGAAACUCCAGAAUUAAAGUGCAGUGAGUAAAAAUUAGGAAUAUUUGCAUUUCCCAAAACAGAAUGAUGCUAAUAGGAGCAAAACAAAUAACUAUUAGUGUUUUUAAGGAACUAAGAAUAAUAAUAAAUACUGUUCACUUUUGAUGUCAAUAUUAACCAUACAUAUAAAAUAGCAACGAGAUGUUUAUUUUUCUCAUGUAUAUAUCUUAUCAACUCAAAUCAUUUCCUUUGACAUUGAUCCUCUCUCACAAUCUGGUCCUACUCACAUGAUUUUACUUAAUUUUUUGUCUUU
rnacentral:lncRNA from 1 species